AAUAAUUCAAAUGCAACGGCUAACAAGGUGGCGCAUUCUAAUUGGGUGAAACAUUUGAAUUUGGCUCCAACGCAUGCGAAACACUUCAUCUUCAACCUCAAAACUUGUGAUUUUGCAACAUCAUGAACUCGUGUUUUUAACAUGAAUCAAACAUGGAUUCCGAUGCGAAACACUUCACCGUUCAUGUCUCCUUGCAUCAAAGUAAUUAAUUUUCUAUAAGGAGGGAAAAUUU
rnacentral:lncRNA from 1 species